UUAAGUCAGGCAACAAGCGAGACCCCUGCCGUUAAUUGCUACCAUUAUCCGCAAGGAUGGUGGAGCUAGUUGACGGGACUGCCGCCGCUAAGGCGGAGGAAGGAAGGGGCAACGGCAGGUCAGUAUGCCCCGAAACUCCUGGGCCACACGCGGGCUGCAAUGGUAGAGACAAUGGGUUCCUACCUCGAAAGGGGGAGGCAAUCCCCAAACUCUACCCCAGUUGUGACUGAGGGCUGCAACCCGCCCUCACGAAUCUGGAAUCCCUAGUAAUCGCAUGUCAUCACCGUGCGGUGAAUACGUCCCUGCUCCUUGCACA
rnacentral:rRNA from 1 species